GACGAACGCUGGCGGCGUGCCUAAUACAUGCAAGUUGAGCGCUGAAGGUUGGUACUUGUACCGACUGGAUGAGCAGCGAACGGGUGAGUAACGCGUGGGGAAUCUGCCUUUGAGCGGGGGACAACAUUUGGAAACGAAUGCUAAUACCGCAUAAAAACUUUAAACACAAGUUUUAAGUUUGAAAGAUGCAAUUGCAUCACUCAAAGAUGAUCCCGCGUUGUAUUAGCUAGUUGGUGAGGUAAAGGCUCACCAAGGCGAUGAUACAUAGCCGACCUGAGAGGGGGAUCGGCCACAAUGGGACUGAGACACGGGCCAAACUCCUACGGGAGGGAGCAGUAGGGAAUCUUCGGCAAUGGACGAAAGUCUGACCGAGCAACGCCGCGUGAGUGAAGAAGGUUUUCGGAUCGUAAAAACCUGUUUGUAGGGAAGAACGUUGGUGGGAGGGGAAAGCGCAUCAAGUGACGGUAACUACCCAGAAAGGGACGGCUAACUACGUG
rnacentral:rRNA from 1 species